CCCAAUUCCUUUUAUGAAGAAUAGAGAAGGAAGUUUGUAUGACACAUUUUCCUUUCCACUCUCCAGCCGAGGCUUUAGCACUUGGAAUCUCGGGAUGAGAUUCUUUUAAGGGGGAGAGGCUGUAACACCUGGUGUUAAUAAUAACUAAAGUAUGCCAUCAAUGAGCUAAUGGUGAAAUUUGGAUUAGAGGAAGGUAAUUUGACUCAAAG
rnacentral:lncRNA from 1 species